CAGCAGCCACGGUAAAACGUAGGGUGCAAGCGUUAAUCGGAAUUACUGGGCGUAAAGCGUGCGCAGGCGGCUUUGCAAGACAGAUGUGAAAUCCCCGGGCUCAACCUGGGAACUGCAUUUGUGACUGCAAGGCUAGAGUGCGGCAGAGGGAGAUGGAAUUCCGCGUGUAGCAGUGAAAUGCGUAGAUAUGCGGAGGAACACCGAUGGCGAAGGCAAUCUCCUGGGCCUGCACUGACGCUCAUGCACGAAAGCGUGGGGAGCAAACAGGAUUAGAGACCCCAGUAGUCCCUGUCUCUUAUAC
rnacentral:rRNA from 1 species